UACGGGGGGGCAAGCGUUGUUCGGAAUUACUGGGCGUAAAGGGCUCGUAGGUGGCCAACUAAGUCAGACGUGAAAUCCCUCGGCUUAACCGGGGAACUGCGUCUGAUACUGGAUGGCUUGAGUUCGGGAGAGGGAUGCGGAAUUCCAGGUGUAGCGGUGAAAUGCGUAGAUAUCUGGAGGAACACCGGUGGCGAAGGCGGCAUCCUGGACCGACACUGACGCUGAGGAGCGAAAGCCAGGGGAGCAAACGGGG
rnacentral:rRNA from 1 species